UAGAUGACUUGCCCGAAAACUAUGAUGAUGUCGUCAUCAUACGACAGUUCUCCAAUAAUAAAGCAGAGGGUGUUCAGGAGGAGUAUGAUGAUGUGAAGAAUGUCAAAGAAUAUCUGAGUGACAUGUUUGACUAUGAUGAUGUGGAGGAGGAUCCAGGAAAACAGGCAGGAGCUGUUUAACACAAACCACAUCCACUGCCUCAAAUCCUUUUAAAGCUUUUAAGAUUUUAGCAAUCUUACUAUAUGUGUUUCAGUUGCAGUCUAACAGUGUUUUGUUACAUUCUGUACUGAAAUAUACAAUGACAAUUUUUGACAGAAAAAA